rnacentral:rRNA from 1 species
UACGUAGGGUGCGAGCGUUAAUCGGAAUUACUGGGCGUAAAGCGUGCGCAGGCGGUUCGUUGUGUCGGCGGUGAAAGCCCCGGGCUUAACCUGGGAAUGGCCGUCGAAACUGGCGAACUGGAGUGUGGCAGAGGGGGGUGGAAUUCCGCGUGUAGCAGUGAAAUGCGUAGAGAUGUGGAGGAACACCGAUGGCGAAGGCAGCCCCCUGGGCCAAUACUGACGCUCAUGCACGAAAGCGUGGGGAGCAAACAGG